rnacentral:rRNA from 1 species
UACGUAGGGUGCGAGCGUUAAUCGGAAUUACUGGGCGUAAAGGGUGCGCAGGCGGUUCUGCAAGUCAGGCGUGAAAGCCCCGGGCUUAACCUGGGAAUGGCGCUUGAAACUACAGGACUGGAGUAUGGCAGAGGGAGGUGGAAUUCCACGUGUAGCGGUGAAAUGCGUAGAGAUGUAGAGGAACACCGAUGGCGAAGGCAGCCUCCUGGGCCAAUGCUGACGCUCAUGCACGAAAGCGUGGGGAGCAAACAGG